rnacentral:rRNA from 1 species
UACGGGGGGGGCAAGCGUUGUUCGGAAUUACUGGGCGUAAAGGGCUCGUAGGCGGCCAACUAAGUCCGACGUGAAAUCCCCAGGCUCAACCUGGGAACUGCAUCCGAUACUGGAUGGCUUGAAUUCGGGAGAGGGAUGCAGAAUUCCAGGUGUAGCGGUGAAAUGCGUAGAUAUCUGGAGGAAUACCGGUGGCGAAGGCGGCAUCCUGGACCGACAUUGACGCUGAGGAGCGAAAGCCAGGGGAGCAAACGGG